rfam:Corchorus capsularis cultivar CVL-1 contig04586, whole genome shotgun sequence.
AGGAGCCGUGCGAGAUGAAAGUCUCAUGCACGGUUUUUGAAUGAGAGAAAGAAGUGAGGAAUCCUCUUUUCGACUCUGAC